GGCGGCGUGCUUAACACAUGCAAGUCGAACGCGAAAGGGACUUCGGUCCUGAGUAAAGUGGCGCACGGGUGAGUAACGCGUAGAUAACCUGUCUUCAUGUCUGGAAUAAUACGCCGAAAGGGGUACUAAUACCGGAUAUUCUUGCUUUUCAUAAGUUAUGCAAGCAAAGGUGGCCUCUGCAUAUGCUACUGCAUGAAGAGGGGUCUGCGUACCAUUAGCUAGUAGGUGGGGUAAUGGCCUACCUAGGCGACGAUGGUUAGCGGGUCUGAGAGGAUGAUCCGCCACACUGGCACUGGAACACGGGCCAGACUCCUACGGGAGGCAGCAGUGAGGAAUAUUGCGCAAUGGGGGAAACCCUGACGCAGCGACGCCGCGUGAGUGAGGAAGGCCUUCGGGUCGUAAAGCUCUGUCAAGAGGAAAGAAGUGUACAAUGGCUAAUACCUGUUGUAUUUGACGGUACCUCUAAAGGAAGCACCGGCUAACUCCGUGCCAGCCGCCGC
rnacentral:rRNA from 1 species